UUCAUGAAGUGAUAUAAUAAUAUAAUUAAUACGCUGAUAUUUAAAUUACAAAAAUUAAGAUUUUAAUAUUCGAACUAAAGGAAUUCUCGCCCUGGCGCAAGGAUACAUCCUCCACUAAGCACGCGGUGGGGUUGCCGCGCGCGCGUAAGGAUUAUUUAUCACUCAAACUUCAGCUUCGAUCUUCGAUGUGAGGCGAAAAUAAGCAGAUUCUGUGAGCAGAUUCAGUGAGCAAGUUCUGUGAGCGUAUAAAGUCAAGGAAGUUCCCGCUUGACAGCAGAGAACUUUAUGUUUUCUGUGGACCAAGUCGUAGUAAACAGCCACAUCACCAUCUUCAGUGAUGCUCUGAAGCUGAUGUUUGCCUCGUACUACUGCUUCAACAUUUCAUACCCAGGAGACCAAGGAGCAACGCUAGAGUUUGUGCAAAGAUGCCUUUAAGAUGAACCCUGAGAAGGGAUCAAAAGUGGAGAAGACCACAUCAAGAAAGCUAACAGCAGUCAGUCCGAAGGUUCUUUCAUUGAUUAGCAAGAUGUUGUCAAGAUGAAUUAAUCUGUUCCCAGGUCGUUCGGAUUUGUUUAUCAAAUUGUUAAAUUUUUACAGAUUUGAAAAAUUCCUUUUAUUGUAUAUUGCUGCAGCUUUGAUUUUUUUUUAAUAAUUUUAUACUGUUGCAGUUAUAAAUUGUGUUGUUGCAGAAAUUUUAACUUUUGGAGUAAUUUGUUUAUUUGAAUA